rnacentral:rRNA from 1 species
UCUACGGGAGGCAGCAGUAGGGAAUCUUCCGCAAUGGACGAAAGUCUGACGGAGCAACGCCGCGUGUGUGAAGAAGGUUUUCGGAUCGUAAAGCACUGUUGUUAGAGAAGAAUGGCUGGGAGAGUAACUGUUCCCAGAUUGACGGUAUCUAACCAGAAAGUGACGGCUAACUACGUGCCAGCAGCCGCGGUAAUACGUAGGUCACAAGCGUUGUCCGGAUUUAUUGGGCGUAAAGGGAGCGCAGGUGGUCUGUUAAGUCUGAUGUGAAAGCCUACGGCUCAACCGUAGAACUGCAUUGGAAACUGGCAGACUUGAGUGCAGAAGAGGAAAGUGGAAUUCCAUGUGUAGCGGUGAAAUGCGUAGAUAUAUGGAGGAACACCAGUGGCGAAGGCGACUUUCUGGUCUGUAACUGACACUGAGGCUCGAAAGCGUGGGGAGCAAACAGGAUUAGAUACCCUGGUAGUCCACGCCGUAAACGAUGAGUGUUAAGUGUUGGAGGGUUUCCACCCUUCAGUGCUGGCGUUAACGCAAUAAACACUCCGCCUGGGGAGUACGGCCGCAAGGCUGAAACUCAAAGGAAUUGACGGA